rnacentral:tRNA from 1 species
GGGCCGGUGGCGCAGUCUGGUAGCGCGCCGCUCUCGCACAGCGGAGGUCGCGGGUUCGAAUCCCGCCCGGUCCA